UUGUAUUUUCCAUGGGCGGAACAGACCCAUCCCAUCCAUGCUUCACUCAACUGAGCAUCUCUGCUUAUGGGCCUCAUGGGAUUAUGCAUGGUGAACGAACAUGAGUUGAACUGGCCAAUUGGCGGUACUUAAUACAAUAUAAAUCAGGUGUGUUCACCUGGAGGUCUUGUUUAUCUCAUAUGUUUGCCAUGUCCACACAUGUGGAAGCCUGAGGAGGGGCUGGGGCUGACAAUAUACAUCAACUCCCAAGGUGGAUGAGUGCAAGUCAGCACAUGGGUGGAACUUCCUGACAAUAUACCACAGCUUAUGGUUGGGCCCUGGCCCAUCUGAGAUAGCACCCAUCUCCAAGAUCGUCUGAAACCAUUGUCUCCUGAUAUGUGCCAAUUGACUGGCCUAUGGUACUUAUAAGUGGAUACUAAUGGAACCUGCAUCAAUGGCUGUCUGGUACUUAUUAUGUGGAUACUAAUGAUAUUCUAUUUCAGCCUGCCACCACUAAUGGUAAGCAACAAGACUCUCUGCUAAAAUUUUCCCUUAACAUUUGGUUUGUCAUGUUGAGUUGUGCUUCCAUUCUAUGGAUUUCUCCUCAUGGUGUUCAUUUCCUCAUGCUUGCAGAUAGGAUCCACAGCAAAAUGGGUGAAGGCUGGUGAGUUGGCCGAAAAUGUUUCAAAAAUGAUUGAUUCUCAUUUUGCAGAGAAGAUUGAUAUGUCAGAAGUGCAGGUGAUGUAUAGAUUGAAAACCCAAAGAACCAUCCCUCCAUGAAAGAUUUUACUGAAUGAAUAAGACGAUAGUUUUACGACUUAAUUUUAUUUAUAUUUCCGCUGCGAACUCGAUAAUGUGAUAAACUCCCAUUAAGAGAGAAUUUGAUAAUUUGUUGAAUUCUUUUACUCUAAUGAAAUAAUAAAUAUAGUCAAUUUUAUUCUCGUGAA